GUGUCAGCAGCCGCGGUAACACGUAGGGACCAAGCGUUGUCCGGAUUUAUUGGGCGUAAAGAGCUCGUAGGCGGUUCGGUAAGUCGGGUGUGAAAACUCUGGGCUCAACUCAGAGAUGCCACCCGAUACUGCCGUGACUUGAGUCCGGUAGGGGAGCACGGAAUUCCUGGUGUAGCGGUGAAAUGCGCAGAUAUCAGGAGGAACACCGGUGGCGAAGGCGGUGCUCUGGGCCGGUACUGACGCUGAGGAGCGAAAGCGUGGGUAGCAAACAGGAUUAGAAACCCUUGUAGUCC
rnacentral:rRNA from 1 species